GGGCUUCAAAAAAUAACCCCGGCACCCUAUAUUGUGAAGGUCGGCUUGCCGACUAUGGCGAUAAACGGCUUCGUAAUAAGCGGCCCGGACCCGGGGGCGGUACCCGGCGCCUCCACCAUAUGCCCAUGCGCGACGUGGGUAUUUGUGGGGGCGAAACAGGAUCGACGGACGUGUAAAGGCUGUCCUUUUGCCCGGUAUUGUUCCGCCGUCAUCGGGCUACUCGUACAAGUGCCAACGAUAAUGAAAUGGUGCUCGCUGCCUAAUUAAUUAGGUAAGCGCGGCCCGGGGGGCGCCGGGCAACAGAAGCCCCCCACU
rnacentral:tmRNA from 1 species